rnacentral:rRNA from 1 species
UUUUUGAAAACCAUUGUCACUCCUUAUGGGGGAGACAGUCAUGAGACGUGAGUAUAAGACCUGAGUGUAAAGACCUUAGGGUGAAGCAAUUGGAGGGCAAGCUUUGGUGCCAGCAGCCGCGGUAACUCCAACUCCAAGAGUGUCUAUGGUGGAUGCUGCAGUUAAAGGGUCCGUAGUCGUGAAAGCAAUUAAAUGUCGUUGUUCAAUAGCGAUGAGUUUGCUAAUGUUUGCGGAACGGAUAGGGAGUGUAGUAUAGACUGGCGAAGAAUGAAAUCUCAAGACCCAGUUUGGACUAACGGAGGCGAAGGCGACACUCUUAGACGUAUCUUAGGAUCAAGGACGAAGGCAGGAGUAUCGAAAGUGAUUAGACACCGCUGUAGUUCCUGCAGUAAACUAUGCCGACAGCCUGUGUGUGAGAAUACGUGGGCGGGAGAAAUCUUAGUGUUCGGGCUCCGGGGAUAGUACGCUCGCAAGGGUGAAACUUAAAGCGAAAUUGACGGAAGGACACUACCAGGAGUGGAUUGUGCUGCUUAAUUUAACUCAACGCGGGAAAACUUACCAGGGUCAAGUCAUUCGUUGAUCGAAUACGUGAGAGUGGCGGGGGGGCAAAAGGGG